rnacentral:lncRNA from 1 species
CAAUGAUGUUAGAAGCACGUGACCAUGUCCAAGUUCAUCUCUUUUUAACUGUUUUCUGGUUUGAUUUCUGACGGCUUUGUUUGGGACGUAGUUCCUUUGGUAGCUCAAGCUGCAUCUGGCCUUUGUUAUGAAGAAGAUUCAGAUUGCCAUUAACCUCAACAAAUAUUGCACUCAACGUCUCAAGCAAAUCUCUUUUACUCAAAUCCCAAGAAAAAAAAAAAUUUCCUUUUUGAAAGUGAGAAAGGUGUCUAUCUUUAAACAUGUUUAAUACAUCUUCUAAUUUUUUUAAGAAAACAAUACGUAUCGAUUUGGGUUAAGUAUUGUUUUCGUCCUUAACGUCUUGGGUCAAAAUCAAAAUCGUCCCCAACUUUUUUUCGUUAUUAAAAUCAUCCUCAACGUUCAAAAACGCUUUAAAAUCAUCAUUUCCCGAAUUUUUGGACCAAAAUACCCUCGUCAUCAUAAAUAAAUAAAAAAAAGAAAACAGG